rnacentral:rRNA from 1 species
UCAGUCCGGAUUGCAGGCUGCAACUCGCCUGUAUGAAGUCGGAAUUGCUAGUAAUCGCGGAUCAGCAUGCCGCGGUGAAUACGUUCCCGGGCCUUGUACACACCGCCCGUCACACCAUGAGAGCCGGGAACACCCGAAGUCCGUAGUCUAACCGUAAGGAGGACGCGGCCGAAGGUGGGUUUGGUAAUGGGGGUGAAGUCGUAACAAGGUAGC